rnacentral:lncRNA from 1 species
ACUUCCCAUACAUUUUUUACUUAGGUUAGUUGCAUACAACUUUCUAUAAAUAUAUCGAAUAGUAGAUAUAUUCUUACAAAGUUUAGUUUUUUAUUUUUAUCCUUAUAAAAGUCUUCCAGUUUUCAAAUAUAUCCUUACUGUUAAGAUUCGUUUGAAAAAUAUAAUUAACCAUGAAUAAAAUAUUUAACUUUGGUUAGUGGCUGAAUUAAAUUGACCUGUUUACCCCUCUUAUAUUAUUAGGUAAAAUAUUUUCUGGAAGAACAUUUUUGCAUAAUGGGCUUUCGAAUGAAUAUAUUUAUAAGGAUAAAAAUAUUAUUUUACUUAUCUUUUGUAAAAAAUAAACAGUGCUCGAAACGUAACAAAUC